AGGAAUAUUGGUCAAUGGGCGUAAGCCUGAACCAGCCAAGUCGCGUGAGGGAGGACGGCCCUACGGGUUGUAAACCUCUUUUGCCGGGGGACAAACGGCGGCACGCGUGCCGUCCUGAGGGUACCCGGAGAAAAAGCAUCGGGUAACUCCGUGCCAGCAGCCGCGGUAAUACGGAGGAUGCGAGCGUUAUCCGGAUUUAUUGGGUUUAAAGGGUGCGUAGGCUGUGAGGUAAGUCAGCGGUGAAAUGCCCCCGCUCAACGGGGUGAAGUGCCAUUGAUACUGCCUUGCUGGAAUGCGGAUGCCGUGGGAGGAAUGUGUGGUGUAGCGGUGAAAUGCAUAGAUAUCACACAGAACACCGAUUGCGAAGGCAUCUCACGAAUCCGCGAUUGACGCUGAUGCACGAAAGCGUGGGUAUCAAACAG
rnacentral:rRNA from 1 species